rnacentral:rRNA from 1 species
GACGAACGCUGGCGGCGUGCUUAACACAUGCAAGUCGAACGGAAAGGCCCUGCUUUUGUGGGGUGCUCGAGUGGCGAACGGGUGGGUAACACGUGAGUAACCUGCCCUUGACUUUGGGAUAACUUCAGGAAACUGGGGCUAAUACCGGAUAGGAGCUCCUGCUGCAUGGUGGGGGUUGGAAAGUUUCGGCGGUUGGGGAUGGACUCGCGGCUUAUCAGCUUGUUGGUGGGGUAGUGGCUUACCAAGGCUUUGACGGGUAGCCGGCCUGAGAGGGUGACCGGCCACAUUGGGACUGAGAUACGGCCCAGACUCCUACGGGAGGCAGCAGUGGGGAAUAUUGCACAAUGGGCAGAAGCCUGAUGCAGCAACGCCGCGUGCGGGAUGACGGCCUUCGGGUUGUAAACCGCUUUCGCCUGUGACGAAGCGUGAGUGACGGUAAUGGGUAAAGAAGCACCGGCUAACUACGUG